rnacentral:misc_RNA from 1 species
AACAAACGCGCGUUGAACUCGUUGUUGGACGAAUUGAAUUAAUCGGUUGAGCUAAAGAUUGCAGUGUUUAAACGUUUGUUUCAGGCUGUUGCUUUAAAUGCCAUGGCGAUAUUCAUAAAAUAGGAGAGUAGCGAUGUUAACUUCUUACCUAAAACGCUGUGAUAAAACAAUUGCAUCAGUGAACGUUCUCCAGUUCGAUUGUACUGUGUCUUGCCGGCGGCAUCAUGAGCUCGCUCUUCGAACGCGUGCUCAAUUUCCUUCAGCGUCGACUGCCUUGUGUCAUGGCCGUUCAGGAACAGGAUGCGGACGUGACCGGCUUUUACGUUCGCCUCUCUGGCGACUUGGAGCCAGAGCCUCCCGAGCAAACUUCUUCCGGCUCAACCAGGAACGCUGCUGUACCGGCCGCUAGGACAGCACUUGCACCGGCCAAGCCUCCGCGGCUCCGAACCGUGAAACCCGUGCCGACGGCCUUCCCGUCCAACUGGAGCUCGAGACGGGGCCGGCCGGACUACGCACUCAGCGAGCCCAAAUUCUUACCGACUGACCGUGGGCCGAGGAAGAGUGCGCCUUACACCAAGGCUGCGUCGGCGAUGCAGUCGUCGCAACUUCUCGCAGAGGCUCCUGUGCAGCGUCGCCGGCUCCUGAAGCCGUCAUCGGCGAGGCCACCCACGCCGUUCGUCGAGUUGCAGCCCGCAGUGCCGUCGCAGUUUCAACACCGGGCGCUGUCGCCAGGCCUGCGGUACGAGUGGCGGGUGUGACACGCGCUGCUGACUUCAUUCCACUCGCCGCUUAGGCGAAAACUUUCAGAUUGACGACGAACCACCUGCGACGGCUUUAGUAUGCAGCGUGUUCCUGAGGGCGUGUGGAAUUAUCUGUUCGUGAUUGCCGAGAAAGAUCUUUGCGCCCGAAUGUGCAAGCUCAA